rnacentral:rRNA from 1 species
AUUGAACGCUGGCGGCAUGCCUUACACAUGCAAGUCGAACGGUAACGGGCCUUCGGGUGCCGACGAGUGGCGAACGGGUGAGUAAUACAUCGGAACGUGCCCGAUCGUGGGGGAUAACGAGGCGAAAGCUUUGCUAAUACCGCAUACGAUCUACGGAUGAAAGCAGGGGACCGCAAGGCCUUGCGCGGACGGAGCGGCCGAUGGCAGAUUAGGUAGUUGGUGGGAUAAAAGCUUACCAAGCCGACGAUCUGUAGCUGGUCUGAGAGGAUGAUCAGCCACACUAGGACUGAGACACGGCCCAGACUCCUACGGGAGGCAGCAGUGGGGAAUUUUGGACAAUGGGCGCAAGCCUAAUCCAGCCAUGCCGCGUGCAGGAUGAAGGCCUUCGGGUUGUAAACUGCUUUUGUACGGAACGAAAAGCCUUCUUUUAAUACAGGAGUGUCAUGACGGUACCGUAAGAAUAAGCACCGGCUAACUACGUG